GUGGGUAUAGCUCAGUGGUAGAGCACGUAUUUAGCACACAGGUUCAAUCCCUGGUACCUAUA
rnacentral:tRNA from 1 species